UACGUAGGGGGCGAGCGUUGUCCGGAUUUAUUGGGCGUAAAGAGCGUGUAGGCGGCCAGGUAGGUCUGCUGUGAAAACUCGAGGCUCAACCUCGAGACGUCGGCGGAAACCAUCUGGCUAGAGUCCGGAAGAGGAGAGUGGAAUUCCUGGUGUAGCGGUGAAAUGCGCAGAUAUCAGGAAGAACACCCGUGGCGAAGGCGGCUCUCUGGGACGGUACUGUCGCUGAGACGCGAAAGCGUGGGGAGCGAACAGG
rnacentral:rRNA from 1 species